rnacentral:rRNA from 1 species
AAUACCUUUGCUCAUUGACGKUACCCGCAGAAGAAGCACCGGCUAACUCCGUGCCAGCAGCCGCGUGUAAUACGGUAGGGUGCAAGCGUUAAUCGGAAUUACUGGGCGUAAAGCGCACGCAGGCGGUUUGUUAAGUCAGAUGUGAAAUCCCCGGGCUCAACCUGGGAACUGCAUCUGAUACUGGCAAGCUUGAGUCUCGUAGAGGGGGGUAGAAUUCCAGGUGUAGCGGUGAAAUGCGUAGAGAUCUGGAGGAAUACCGGUGGCGAAGGCGGCCCCCUGGACGAAGACUGACGCUCAGGUGCGAAAGCGUGGGGAGCAAACAGGAUUAGAUACCCUGGUAGUCCACGCCGUAAACGAUGUCGACUUGGAGGUUGUGCCCUUGAGGCGUGGCUUCCGGAGCUAACGCGUUAAGUCGACCGCCUGGGGAGUACGGCCGCAAGGUUAAAACUCAAUG